CCCGCCGCCCUUCUGGACUUUUAUCGAGGCAUGUACAUUAAUACGAAAGAGAGUUUGCCAUUUACCUGCAAGAUUGAGGGCGACAACGUAAGAGGAAUGGUUUUAAGUGACGCGUCCGGCUUCUUACUCCCACUGAAGGGUGAAGGUGCCCCAGGUGGACCUGGUUUGGAUUCUGAUGUAAAGAAACCGACUUCAAAACAUUUGGGCCAAUCAGGAAAAUACGAAAACUCUGACUACAUAUUUAGUGAUAUCUAGAAUUAUUGUUAAUAGUUUAAGGUGAUAGAGGCUAUGUUCCUAAGUGAAGAAUGAAGUAGUGGCAGUUCCAUCAGAUGCUUAGAGCCAGAGACAGUCCUAAGAAACAGUGGAAAAGAAAUCCGGUGGAGAAAUUCUGAGCAAUAGGAAUUUUCUCUGAAGAUCACUUGGAAGUGCCCCAUGAGAAAACCACUAGCUUCAAACCCUGCCAAGCCCAGAGAAUGCCUUACACUAAAAUAGAUCAUCAUAAAAUUAAUAGCCCCUGAAACACUGCCUGGCUCAGAGUUGGCGCUUGUUAAAAUUUUGAGGAAGCAAGCAAGCAAGCAAGCACAUGGGAGGAUACCAAAACAUGGCAGUGAAAGGAGCUAAACACACAAAAGAAAAGACGGAGUUCCUCUCUUGUUGCCCAAGCUGGAGUGCAGUGGCACGAUCUCAGCUCACCGCAACCUCCGCCUCCCAGAUUCAAGCGAUUCUCCUGCCUCAGCCUCCUGAGUAGCUGGGAUUACAGGCCCCCAUCACACGCCCGGCUAACUGUAU
rnacentral:antisense_RNA from 1 species